GCCCGAAUGGCCAAAUGGUAAGGCGCAUCACUCGUAAUGAUGAGAUUCUUGGUUCGAUUCCGAGUUUGGGCA